GACGAACGCUGGCGGCGUGCCUAAUACAUGCAAGUAGAACGCUGAAGCGAGGAGCUUGCUCUUCUUGGAUGAGUUGCGAACGGGUGAGUAACGCGUAGGUAACCUGCCUUGUAGCGGGGGAUAACUAUUGGAAACGAUAGCUAAUACCGCAUAACAAUGGAUGACACAUGUCAUUUAUUUGAAAGGGGCAAUUGCUCCACUACAAGAUGGACCUGCGUUGUAUUAGCUAGUAGGUGAGGUAAUGGCUCACCUAGGCGACGAUACAUAGCCGACCUGAGAGGGUGAUCGGCCACACUGGGACUGAGACACGGCCCAGACUCCUACGGGAGGCAGCAGUAGGGAAUCUUCGGCAAUGGGGGCAACCCUGACCGAGCAACGCCGCGUGAGUGAAGAAGGGUUUCGGACCGUAAAGCUCUGUUGUAAGUCAAGAACGGGCGUGAGAGUGGAAAGUUCACACUGUGACGGUAGCUUACCAGAAAGGGACGGCUAACUACGUG
rnacentral:rRNA from 1 species